AUUGAACGCUGGCGGCAGGCCUAACACAUGCAAGUCGAACGAGUGGCGGACGGGUGAGUAAUGUCUGGGACACUGCCUGAUGGAGGGGGAUAACUACUGGAAACGGUAGCUAAUACCGCAUACCAUCAGAUGGGCCCAGAUGGGAUUUGCUAGUUGGUGGGGGAACGGCUCACCAGGGCGACGAUCCCUAGCUGGUCUGAGAGUAAGACCAGCAACACUGGAACUGAGACACGGUCCAGACUCCGACGGGAGGCAGAAGUGGGGAAUAUGGCGCAUGGUGCGCAAGCUUGAUGCAGCCAUGCCGCGUGUAUGAAGAAGGCCUUCGGGGUGUAAAGUACUUUCAGCGGGGAGGCGUUACCCGCAGAAGAAGCACCGGCUAACGCCGUGCCAGCAGCCGCGGUAAUUC
rnacentral:rRNA from 1 species